GCUUACACAUGCAGUCGAACGGCAGCACAGUAAGAGCUUGCUCUUAUGGGUGGCGAGUGGCGGACGGGUGAGGAAUACAUCGGAAUCUACUCUUUCGUGGGGGAUAACGUAGGGAAACUUACGCUAAUACCGCAUACGACCUACGGGUGAAAGCGGAGGACCUUCGGGCUUCGCGCGAUUGAAUGAGCCGAUGUCGGAUUAGCUAGUUGGCGGGGUAAAGGCCCACCAAGGCGACGAUCCGUAGCUGGUCUGAGAGGAUGAUCAGCCACACUGGAACUGAGACACGGUCCAGACUCCUACGGGAGGCAGCAGUGGGGAAUAUUGGACAAUGGGCGCAAGCCUGAUCCAGCCAUGCCGCGUGGGUGAAGAAGGCCUUCGGGUUGUAAAGCCCUUUUGUUGGGAAAGAAAAGCAGUCGGUUAAUACCCGAUUGUUCUGACGGUACCCAAAGAAUAAGCACCGGCUAACUUCGUGCCAGCAGCCGCGGUAAUACGAAGGGUGCAAGCGUUACUCGGAAUUACUGGGCGUAAAGCGUGCGUAGGUGGUGGUUUAAGUCUGUUGUGAAAGCCCUGGGCUCAACCUGGGAAUUGCAGUGGAUACUGGGUCACUA
rnacentral:rRNA from 1 species